rnacentral:rRNA from 1 species
GAUCCUGGCUCAGGAUGAACGCUAGCGACAGGGCUUAACACAUGCAAGUCGAGGGGCAGCAUUGUUUGUAGCAAUACAGACAGAUGGCGACCGGCGCACGGGUGAGUAACGCGUAUGCAACCUGCCUAUCAGAGGGGAAUAACCCGGCGAAAGUCGGACUAAUACCGCAUAAAACAGGGGUCCCGCAUGGGAAUAUUUGUUAAAGAAGCGAUUCGCUGAUAGAUGGGCAUGCGUU